rnacentral:lncRNA from 1 species
AUGGGUUGGGCGUGGGCGUGUGUGUGUAAGUUCACCCUGUGUCCUUUGUGCAGCAAUGCCGGACCGGUGAUUGUGUGUCCAUCCAUGCAUGUGUGGUAUCUGUGCUUACAGCAGACUUGUGCCAUACAGACCUUAUUGGGACUGUGUGUGUGUGUGGGUGUCUGUGUAGGUGAAGCUGCCUGAGCGACUGGAGAGAGGGAGGUAGGAAGCAGGGGAGGGAGCAGGGGAGGGAGCAGGGGAAGACAGAAGGACAGUUAUUUUCAAAUUCAGCAGUAUAACUGUUGUCUUGAAAGAUGAACCACUGCAUCACAAAAAUAGCAGUCCCAGAUCUGUCUGUGCUGUCUGGCUUACUCCACUGUCUAGUUUUAGAAGUUGAGGUGAUCAAGCUAGCUAGUUAGCAACAGUUAACAAACUAUAUAAGCAUAGUGGCAUAGCAUUAUAUCACCAUAGACAGUGUUCAGAGAGAGUAGUGGAGAGGAAAGCUUACAUUGUGCUGGUGGUGUAGUUGUUGUCUCCCCCUUCAACAUACUGCACCUGAUUGGUGUACACAUGCUGCACUGGCACCUGCUGGAGCUGCUGCUGCACCUGGGACACACACACACACACACACACACAUGCAGGCAUGAGUACACACACAGAGUCGGUCAAAACACUAAUCUACUCCCCCUCCUCCAAUUUCCUUUGAAGUGUGUCCAAAUAUUUCAACCGUAGUCAAUCAUGAGGCAUACCACAUCAAUCACGGGCUCAUUCACUUCAAUGGGAAAAUGACCUUGACUUGCAGGCUGCUCCCCUUACCCUUCACAUUGCUCUUUCCUACCUACUGUGUUGUCUCUGCCUUAAUCCCACUCCACUCUGUUACCCACUGACAGCCUCUCUAGGAUACCUAACUUCCAUUUAAAGCUGCAAAAAGUCAUUUUGGGGCGACCCGAUUCCAUUCACAUACGUGUGUUAUGGAUCUGCCAUUCUCACUGAAAACAAGUCUCAGAAGUGGUAGAUCUGUUCUAUGUAUUUCUCUGCUUCCUGUUCAUAAGUUUCUUUUUUGCGUCUUUUACUAGGUUUUGUACACCAGCUUCAAACAGCUGAAAAUACCAUAUUUCUGGUUAGGGAAACAAUAURUCACAGWGGUUUAGAUGGRACAAUGAUUCUCCACACUUAUAACUGCUUGUUUUGUCACAUAAACUGAAAUCAGGCAAACUAUUUUUUAUUGAACCUUUAUUUAACUAGGCAAGUCACUUAAGAACAAAUUCCUAUUUACAAUGACGGCCUACCCCGGACGACGCUGGGCCAAUUGUGCAGCGCCCUAUGGGACUCCCAAUCACAGCUGGAUGUGAUACAGCCUGGAUUCGAACCAGGGACUGUAGUGACGCCUCUUCCACUGAGAUGCAGUGCCUUAGACCGCUGCYCCACUCAGGAGCCCGGAAAUGGCAGAGCAAUUUCUGCAUAGUGCAUCUUUAAGUUAAAACUGCACUUAGUAGUGGGAGACUAAGGCAGAAAUUCUACCUAAUUGACCUACUCUGAGGGCAGAGGCUGCGUCAAACAGGAGUGGGGCUUGUCCGUGGGCGGACUCUGGCGACCGUGGGGUAGCCUCCCAUCUCCAUCCCCUCCCAGCCCAGGGAGAGCACCGACAGGGACAAGGCGAAGGGAGGGAGGCAGGUCGGGGGAGGGGAGGGAGAGGGGAGUAGGAGGGGUACUCUGAGGCUGUGUGCCUCUGUCUGCAUGUCUGGGUGUCUGUCUGACGGCACCCAUGCAAAGUACUGUGCGCUCUGUCCUGCUCUGCUCUGCUGUUGUCCACUCCUCCUCUACCUCUCGGUCUCUCCCUACGUCUGUCUCAUCCCUCUUCUCUGUUUGCUAUCGAAAUCUGGAACCAACCAACCAGGAGGGAAAUGUUGUG